GCAGGCGCGUAAAUUACCCACUCCCAGUUCGGGGAGGUAGUGACGAAAAAUAACAAUACAGGACUCAUAUCCGAGGCCCUGUAAUUGGAAUGAGUACACUUUAAAUCCUUUAACAAGGACCUAUUGGAGGGCAAGUCUGGUGCCAGCAGCCGCGGUAAUUCCAGCUCCAAUAGCGUAUAUUAAAGUUGUUGCGGUUAAAACGUUCGUAGUUGAAUUUGUGCUUCAUACAGGUAGUACAACUAUAAUCGUAGUUUGUACAUUACCUUAUGUAUGCAAGCGUAUUAUCGGUGGAGUUCUAAUAUAUAAUAGUAAAUAUUAUUAUUAUAUAUACCUCCUAUUUGAAACCUACUUCAGUGCUCUUUAUCGAG
rnacentral:rRNA from 1 species